AGAGUUUGAUCCUGGCUCAGAUUGAACGCUGGCGGCAUGCCUUACACAUGCAAGUCGAACGGCUGCACGGGAGCAAUCCUGGUGGCGAGUGGCGAACGGGUGAGUAAUAUAUCGGAACGUGCCCAGUCGUGGGGGAUAACGCAGCGAAAGCUGUGCUAAUACCGCAUACGAUCUCUGGAUGAAAGCGGGGGACUCGCAAGGGCCUCGCGCGAUUGGAGCGGCCGAUAUCAGAUUAGCUAGUUGGUGGGGUAAAAGCCCACCAAGGCGACGAUCUGUAGCUGGUCUGAGAGGACGACCAGCCACACUGGAAAUGAGACACGGUCCAGACUCCCACGGGAGGCAGCAGUGGGGAAUUUUGGACAAUGGGCGCA
rnacentral:rRNA from 1 species